CACGUCGAUAGGCCGGGGGUGCAAGCGCGGCGACGCGUUGAGCCGACCGGUACUAAUCGCCCGAUUGGCUUGAUCGCU
rnacentral:rRNA from 1 species